rnacentral:rRNA from 1 species
AUUGAACGCUGGCGGCAGGCCUAACACAUGCAAGUCGAGCGAGGGGCGGACGGGUGAGUAAUGUAUGGGGACUGCCCGAUAGAGGGGGAUAACUAAUGGAAACGGUAGCUAAUACCGCAUACUAUCGGAUAACCCAUAUGGGAUUAGCUAGUAGGUGAGGUAAUGGCUCACCUAGGCGACGAUCCCUAGCUGGUCUGAGAGGAUGAUCAGGCACACUGGGACUGAGACACGGCCCAGACUCCUACGGAGGCAGCAGUGGGGAAUAUUGGACAAUGGGCGAAAGCCUGAUGCAGCCAUGCCGCGUGUAUGAAGAAGGCCCUAGGGUUGUAAAGUACUUUAAGUCGGGAGGCGUUACCGACAGAAUAAGCACCGGCUAACUCCGUGCCAGCCGCCGCGGUAAUUC